UACGUAGGGGGCUAGCGUUGUCCGGAUUUACUGGGCGUAAAGAGCUCGUAGGUGGUUUGUCGCGUUGUUCGUGAAAACUCACAGCUCAACUGUGGGCGUGCGGGCGAUACGGGCAGACUGGAGUACUGCAGGGGAGACUGGAAUUCCUGGUGUAGCGGUGGAAUGCGCAGAUAUCAGGAGGAACACCGGUGGCGAAGGCGGGUCUCUGGGCAGUAACUGACGCUGAGGAGCGAAAGCGUGGGGAGCGAACAGG
rnacentral:rRNA from 1 species